AACGAACGCUGGCGGCAUGCCUAACACAUGCAAGUCGAACGAGACCUUCGGGUCCAGUGGCGCACGGGUGCGUAACGCGUGGGAAUCUGCCCUUCGGUUGGGAAUAACUGAGAGAAAUUUAAGCUAAUACCUUAUAAUGUCUUCGGACCAAAGAUUUAUCGCCGCGGGAUGGGCCCGCGUAGGAUUAGGUAGUUGGUGGGGUAAUGGCCGACCAAGCCGACGAUCCUUAGCUGGUCUGAGAGGAUGAUCAGCCACACUGGGACUGAGACACGGCCCAGACUCCUACGGGAGGCAGCAGUGGGGAAUAUUGGACAAUGGGCGAAAGCCUGAUCCAGCAAUGCCGCGUGAGUGAUGAAGGCCUUAGGGUUGUAAAGCUCUUUUAGCCGGGAUGAUAAUGACAGUACCGGGAGAAUAAGCUCCGGCUAACUCCGUG
rnacentral:rRNA from 1 species